UUAAGUUAUUAAGGGCGCACGGUGGAUGCCUUGGCACUAGAAGCCGAUGAAGGACGUUACUAACGACGAUAUGCUUUGGGGAGCUGUAAGUAAGCUUUGAUCCAGAGAUUUCCGAAUGGGGAAACCCAGCAUGAGUUAUGUCAUGUUAUCGAUAUGUGAAUACAUAGCAUAUCAGAAGGCACACCCGGAGAACUGAAACAUCUUAGUACCCGGAGGAAGAGAAAGAAAAUUCGAUUCCCUUAGUAGCGGCGAGCGAAACGGGAAGAGCCCAAACCAACAAGCUUGCUUGUUGGGGUUGUAGGACACUCUAUACGGAGUUACAAAGGACGACAUUAGACGAAUCAUCUGGAAAGAUGAAUCAAAGAAGGUAAUAAUCCUGUAGUCGAAAAUGUUGUCUCUCUUGAGUGGAUCCUGAGUACGACGGAGCACGUGAAAUUCCGUCGGAAUCUGGGAGGACCAUCUCCUAAGGCUAAAUACUCUCUAGUGACCGAUAGUGAACCAGUACCGUGAGGGAAAGGUGAAAAGCACCCCGGAAGGGGAGUGAAAUAGAACCUGAAACCGUGUGCUUACAAGUAGUCAGAGCCCGUUAAUGGGUGAUGGCGUGCCUUUUGUAGAAUGAACCGGCGAGUUACGAUUUGAUGCAAGGUUAAGCAGUAAAUGUGGAGCCGUAGCGAAAGCGAGUCUGAAUAGGGCGUUUAGUAUUUGGUCGUAGACCCGAAACCAGGUGAUCUACCCUUGGUCAGGUUGAAGUUCAGGUAACACUGAAUGGAGGACCGAACCGACUUACGUUGAAAAGUGAGCGGAUUAACUGAGGGUAGCGGAGAAAUUCCAAUCGAACCUGGAGAUAGCUGGUUCUCUCCGAAAUAGCUUUAGGGCUAGCCUCAAGUGAUGAUUAUUGGAGGUAGAGCACUGUUUGGACGAGGGGCCCCUCUCGGGUUACCGAAUUCAGACAAACUCCGAAUGCCAAUUAAUUUAACUUGGGAGUCAGAACAUGGGUGAUAAGGUCCGUGUUCGAAAGGGAAACAGCCCAGACCACCAGCUAAGGUCCCAAAAUAUAUGUUAAGUGGAAAAGGAUGUGGCGUUGCCCAGACAACUAGGAUGUUGGCUUAGAAGCAGCCAUCAUUUAAAGAGUGCGUAAUAGCUCACUAGUCGAGUGACACUGCGCCGAAAAUGUACCGGGGCUAAACAUAUUACCGAAGCUGUGGAUUGUCCUUUGGACAAUGGUAGGAGAGCGUUCUAAGGGCGUUGAAGCAUGAUCGUAAGGACAUGUGGAGCGCUUAGAAGUGAGAAUGCCGGUGUGAGUAGCGAAAGACGGGUGAGAAUCCCGUCCACCGAUUGACUAAGGUUUCCAGAGGAAGGCUCGUCCGCUCUGGGUUAGUCGGGUCCUAAGCUGAGGCCGACAGGCGUAGGCGAUGGAUAACAGGUUGAUAUUCCUGUACCACCUAUAAUCGUUUUAAUCGAUGGGGGGACGCAGUAGGAUAGGCGAAGCGUGCGAUUGGAUUGCACGUCUAAGCAGUAAGGCUGAGUAUUAGGCAAAUCCGGUACUCGUUAAGGCUGAGCUGUGAUGGGGAGAAGACAUUGAGUCUUCGAGUCGUUGAUUUCACACUGCCGAGAAAAGCCUCUAGAUAGAAAAUAGGUGCCCGUACCGCAAACCGACACAGGUAGUCAAGAUGAGAAUUCUAAGGUGAGCGAGCGAACUCUCGUUAAGGAACUCGGCAAAAUGACCCCGUAACUUCGGGAGAAGGGGUGCUCUUUAGGGUUAACGCCCAGAAGAGCCGCAGUGAAUAGGCCCAAGCGACUGUUUAUCAAAAACACAGGUCUCUGCUAAACCGUAAGGUGAUGUAUAGGGGCUGACGCCUGCCCGGUGCUGGAAGGUUAAGAGGAGUGGUUAGCUUCUGCGAAGCUACGAAUCGAAGCCCCAGUAAACGGCGGCCGUAACUAUAACGGUCCUAAGGUAGCGAAAUUCCUUGUCGGGUAAGUUCCGACCCGCACGAAAGGCGUAACGAUUUGGGCACUGUCUCAACGAGAGACUCGGUGAAAUCAUAGUACCUGUGAAGAUGCAGGUUACCCGCGACAGGACGGAAAGACCCCGUGGAGCUUUACUGUAGCCUGAUAUUGAAAUUCGGCACAGCUUGUACAGGAUAGGUAGGAGCCUUUGAAACGUGAGCGCUAGCUUACGUGGAGGCGCUGGUGGGAUACUACCCUAGCUGUGUUGGCUUUCUAACCCGCACCACUUAUCGUGGUGGGAGACAGUGUCAGGCGGGCAGUUUGACUGGGGCGGUCGCCUCCUAAAAGGUAACGGAGGCGCUCAAAGGUUCCCUCAGAAUGGUUGGAAAUCAUUCAUAGAGUGUAAAGGCAUAAGGGAGCUUGACUGCGAGACCUACAAGUCGAGCAGGGUCGAAAGACGGACUUAGUGAUCCGGUGGUUCCGCAUGGAAGGGCCAUCGCUCAACGGAUAAAAGCUACCCCGGGGAUAACAGGCUUAUCUCCCCCAAGAGUUCACAUCGACGGGGAGGUUUGGCACCUCGAUGUCGGCUCAUCGCAUCCUGGGGCUGUAGUCGGUCCCAAGGGUUGGGCUGUUCGCCCAUUAAAGCGGUACGCGAGCUGGGUUCAGAACGUCGUGAGACAGUUCGGUCCCUAUCCGUCGUGGGCGUAGGAAAUUUGAGAGGAGCUGUCCUUAGUACGAGAGGACCGGGAUGGACAUACCUCUGGUGUACCAGUUGUCGUGCCAACGGCAUAGCUGGGUAGCUAUGUGUGGACGGGAUAAGUGCUGAAAGCAUCUAAGCAUGAAGCCCCCCUCAAGAUGAGAUUUCCCAACUUCGGUUAUAAGAUCCCUCAAAGAUGAUGAGGUUAAUAGGUUCGAGGUGGAAGCAUGGUGACAUGUGGAGCUGACGAAUACUAAUCGAUCGAAGACUUAAUCAA
rnacentral:rRNA from 1 species